GCUUAGCCUUAAACAUUGGUAGCAAAAUACACCCGCUACCCGCCUGGGAACUACGAGCAUCAGCUUGAAACCCAAAGGACUUGGCGGUGCUUUAGACCCACCUAGAGGAGCCUGUCCUAGAACCGAUAACCCCCGUUCAACCUCACCUUUUCUUGUUUAUCCCGCCUAUAUACCGCCGUCGUCAGCUUACCCUGUGAAGGACCUAUAGUAAGCAAAAUUGGCACAACCCAAAACGUCAGGUCGAGGUGUAGCGUAUGGAAAGGGAAGAGAUGGGCUACAUUCCCUAAUGCAGCGAAUACGAAUGAUGAACUGAAACACUCAUCCGAAGGAGGAUUUAGCAGUAAGCAGAAAGUAGAGAGUUCUGCUGAAACCGGCCCUGAAGCGCGC
rnacentral:rRNA from 1 species